rnacentral:rRNA from 1 species
CACUCUAAGGAGACUGCCGGUGACAACCGGAGGAAGUGGGGAUGACGUCAAGUCAUCACUGGCCCUUACGGCCUGGGCUACACACGUGCUACAAUGGUCGGUACAAAGGGUUGCCAAGCCGCGAGGUGGAGCUAAUCCCAUAAAACCGAUCGUAGUCCGGAUCGCAGUCUGCAACUCGACUGCGUGAAGUCGGAAUCGCUAGUAAUCGUGAAUCAGAAUGUCACGGUGAAUACGUUCCCGGGCCUU